rnacentral:rRNA from 1 species
GACGAACGCUGGCGGCGUGCUUAACACAUGCAAGUCGAACGAUGAAACCUAGCUUGCUAGGUCGAUUAGUGGCGAACGGGUGAGUAACACGUGACUAACCUGCCCCUUUCUCUGGGAUAACGCUCCGAAAGGAGUGCUAAUACCGGAUACUCACAUCGAGGCACAUGCCUUGAUGUGGAAAGUUUUUCGGAAAGGGAUGGAGUCGCGGCCUACCAGCUUGUUGGUGAGGUAACGGCUCACCAAGGCGACGACGGGUAGCCGGCCUGAGAGGGCGACCGGCCACACUGGGACUGAGACACGGCCCAGACUCCUACGGGAGGCAGCAGUGGGGAAUAUUGCACAAUGGGCGCAAGCCUGCUGCAGCGACGCCGCGUGAGGGAUGAAGGUCUUCGGAUUGUAAACUUCUUUCAGUAGGGACGAAGCGAAAGUGACGGUACCUAAAGAAGAAGCACCGGCUAACUACGUGCCAGCCGCCGCGGUAA